rnacentral:rRNA from 1 species
UAGUCAUAUGCUUGUCUUAAAGAUUAAGCCAUGCAUGUCUAAGUUUAAGUGUUCUUACAACGAAACCGCGAAUGGCUCAUUAAAUCAGUUAUAGUUUACUUGGUCGAUGCUUACUACUUGGAUAACUGUAGUAAUUCUAGAGCUAAUACAUGCAAAAAGCCCCAACCUUCUGGAAGGGGUGGCAUUAUCCACUUCAACGCUACUCAGGGUUCACGCCCUGUUUUACUUGAAUGGAGAUAAUUGUCCGAAUCGCGAGAACCGCAAGGCGGCGAUAGACCAACCAAGUUUCUGCCCUAUCAACUUGAUGGUAGUGUAUUGGACUACCAUGGUUAUAACGGGUAACGGGGAAUUAGGGUUCGAUUCCGGAGAGGGAGCCUGAGAGAUGGCUACCACUUCCAAGGAAGGCAGCAGGCGCGCAAAUUACCCAAUCUCAGUACGAGGAGGUAGUGACGAUAAAUAACGAUAUGGAUCCUUCGGGGUCCAUAAUCGGAAUGAGCACAAAGUAAAUAUCUUAACGAGGAACAAUUG